GGUAAAUUUAUAACAUAUUUUGGUUGCUUGUCAUACGUUUUUUUUGCUUUUAGCAAUAAAGUUAUAGACAGAUAUGAAUGCUUACUGGAGAAUUUGCUUACUGAUUUCAGGUUUUGUACCGUGGGAUUAUUAGUUGUUUCAAAGAACUGGCUACGAAUGAAAGUGGAUGUGCAUCUUUGAAUGUUUGCAUCAAUUGUAUCACUAACCCUCUCAAAAGGGAGCUACUUGAAAAAAUUGCAAACCAGUCAGGUUACCUUGCCAAUGAUCCUUGGGGGAACUUUGUUGUGCAGCAUGUUCUUGAACUCGGGGACGAAGAGCUUUCAAGUAAAGUAUUCAGCCAACUUGAGAAGCAGUACUUAACACUAGCCUUCAAAAAAGGUGGUAGCCAUGUUGUUGAGAAAUGCAUAGAGUCAUCAAAAUCUGGAAUGAUUUCAGUAGUUGAUGUUCUUCUAACUGAUGAUAAAGCACUAGUUCAACUUGCCAAAGAUCCCUUCGGCAAUUAUGUGAUUCAGAAAGCAUUGAAAUCCACAAAGGAGUAUGGAGAGGAAACGCGACAUCAAGCUCUAGCCGGAGUUCUAAUGGCACAUAGUUCGUUUUUUGUACACAACAAACCUGGGAAACAUGUGAUCUUCAUUAUCAAAAGUCUAAAUCCAGUUUUUCAGAGAGCCUGGAAUUCAUAAUCAAGACAGUGUUGAGGAAGACAAUCUUGUUUCUGUGUUUUUUGUUUAUGUUACUUCUGUGUAAUAUGUCUCUUCUGUUAGUACUUUGUAACACACAAGGGUGAAUUUGAGAUGAUGCAAAUCAGUGUUCUAAAAUUGUAGUUAGCCGUCAGAAACUAGGAUUUGUUUGAGAUUUGUAGUAUGGCAUUUUGGGUGGUAAUAUUUUGUAAGAGCUUUGUUUAUCGAUA